UGUCCGUCUGGAAAAGUUGCUUACAAUAAGAGAGCAGACUACAUUCUUUCUUUGAAUAUACCACUUCAUGAAGCGACAAAUAAAGAGCAGGUUGAAGAAUUUAACAAGCUGAAGGCAACAAUGAAAUUGGAAGGCAAAGAAGUAGCUAAUGAUGAAGUUGUACGGCCAAGAGUGCCUCUAGAAGCAUGUCUAGCAAGCUUUUUAGCUCCUGAGGAGGUGCAUGAUUUUUACAGUACAGCACUAAAUUCCAAGACCACAGC